rnacentral:lncRNA from 1 species
AUCUUAAUAAUAUUAUUUUUGUCUUAUUUUAUUUGAUAACCAUUAUUAUCUCAGAGUACAAAUCCAUAUAGGUUUUCCUGAUCUUUGCUACUGAGAGAAUUUGUUUUUUUCUUAUGGACGUUCGUGUACUCUCUUGGACUUGUGCUCAUGGAACUUGUGGCAUGUAACGACCACCAGCACAUUUACAUUUUUUAAAAAUACAGAUCACAUCACGAAUAUGCGAGCACAUAUCUCUUGGACAAUCAAAUGUAGACUGACAGUUCAUAAUGUUUGCUGUAAUGAAAAAUGAGAAUACAAAUAUGUUAAUAAAGCAUGAUAAGAAAUUGUGUAUGAACUACGAAGUAAAGAAGAAAAUUUAAAAAACGAUAAAAAAAUAUUACUUUAACAACUAAUUAGUAACAUUUGUUAUUGAAAAGAAAAGAUAAAAAAUGACUUACCAUCAACGUUAUUUGCGGCAAAAAAUAAGGAAAAAAAUAUAAUUAGA